GUGAACUGCGGGCCGUUGUGGCGGGGAAUACGUAGUGGUGAAGUCGUCAUGGGAAUGUCUGGGCGGUAAGUGUGCUGAGGUGGUGUUUGAAGGCUGCUGUUAGAGCCCUGGGCGCAAGCGGGGAAUGGCGGUGGAAACUGAAAAGCUAGAGUGCGGUAGAGGAGGGUGGAAUUCCCGGUGUAGCGGUGAAAUGCGUAGAGAUCGGGAGGAACAUCAGUGGCGAAGGCGGCCCUCUGGACCAGCACUGACGCUGAGGCACGAAAGCGUGGGGAGCAAACAGGAUUAGAUACCCUGGUAGUC
rnacentral:rRNA from 1 species